CUGCAAUGACGGCAACAUUUUUCAUCAACAGCAAUUCACCUUGAGCGUUGAGACCUUGGGUCUGAGUGG